AUACGGAGGGAGCAAGCGUUAUUCGGAAUCACUGGGCGUAAAGGACGCGUAGGCGGGUUUGUAAGUCAGGUGUGAAAUCCUACAGCUCAACCGUAGAACUGCACUUGAAACUACAGACCUAGAGUAUGGAAGGGGCAGAUGGAAUUAGUGGUGUAGGGGUAAAAUCCGUAGAUAUCACUAGGAAUACCGAAAGCGAAGGCGAUCUGCUGGGACAUUACUGACGCUGAGGCGUGAAAGCGUGGGGAGCAAACAGGAUUAGAUACCCCUGUAGUCC
rnacentral:rRNA from 1 species